rnacentral:tRNA from 1 species
GAAGAAUUAGUUAAAAUAUAACAUUAGAAUGUCAAACUAAAAUUAUCAUAUUAUGAUAUUCUUCU